rnacentral:rRNA from 1 species
UACGUAGGUGGCAAGCGUUGUCCGGAAUUAUUGGGCGUAAAGCGCGCGCAGGCGGUCCUUUAAGUCUGAUGUGAAAGCCCACGGCUCAACCGUGGAGGGUCAUUGGAAACUGGGGGGACUUGAGUACAGAAGAGAAGAGUGGAAUUCCACGUGUAGCGGUGAAAUGCGUAGAGAUGUGGAGGAACACCAGUGGCGAAGGCGACUCUUUGGUCUGUAACUGACGCUGAGGCGCGAAAGCGUGGGGGAGCAAACAGGG